rnacentral:rRNA from 1 species
GACGAACGCUGGCGGCGUGCUUAACACAUGCAAGUCGAACGAUGAAAUGGAGCUUGCUCCAUGGAUUAGUGGCGAACGGGUGAGUAACACGUGAAUAACCUGCCCUUAAUUUUGGAAUAACCCAGGGAAACCUGGGCUAAUACCGGAUAAGUAAACCUGUGGCAUCACAUGGUUUUGGAGAGUUUUUCGAUUAAGGAUGGAUUCGCGGCCUAUCAGCUUGUUGGUGAGGUAAUGGCUCACCAAGGCGACGACGGGUAGCCGGCCUGAGAGGGUGAACGGCAACCCUGGGACUGGGACACGGCCCAGACUCCUACGGGAGGCAGCAGUGGGGAAUAUUGCGCAAUGGACGAAAGUCUGACGCAGCGACGCCUCGUGAGGGACGAAGGUCUUCGGAUUGUAAACCUCUUUCAGCAGGGACGAAGCGAAAGUGACGGUACCUGCAGAAGAAGCACCGGCUAACUAUGUGCCAGCAGCCGCCGUAA